rnacentral:misc_RNA from 1 species
AAGUCGUAACAAGGUUUCCGUAGGUGAACCUGCGGAAGGAUCAUUACCGAGAGAGGGUCCUCUGGGCCCGACCUCCAACCCUGUGUCUAAUUACUUUGUUGCUUUGGCCGGCCCGCCUCUCGGCCGCCGGAGGCAGUCACAUGCCUCUGGCCCGCGCCGGCCAACAGCCCGAACAAACCCGUUUUAUGACUGCGUCUGAAUUUAUAAAGAAAAUAAACAAAA